GGAGGAGAGGGAGAAGGUGGAUGAACGAGGAUGGAAGAGGACAAUUUACCUGGGCCUCAUGCUAGAAAAACACCCUUGUGGCAAAUUCAAGUCGACUGUUGGUCAGGGACAUUACAGCCCGGGCUUACAAUUAGAUGAUAAGUGGUAACCUGUGUGGUUAAAGCAAUCAGAUGUUUUGGGAGUCUGUUUCUGUCUUUGGUUAUCUAGCUGUAUGAGUGUUAAAUUCCUGUCAUAAAGCUAGAUAACCGAAUGUAGGAAUGACUCCCGUAAUUAACGUUGAGGGAGAAAGCAAGAAAGAGCGAAGACUGGCCUUUACCUCAAAGAGUUUCAAUUAGCGCCGUUCUUCUUGAAAAGACGGUGGAGGCAUUGUUCAGCGGAAAAGAGGACGAGGUCGUCGCGCUUCCUCCGCCCUCUCUUCUUUUUGCCCAGAAGCCAUGGUAUGCCAUCUGCACUGCCAGUGACAGACACUGCGCCUAUGCCAGGAGGCAGACAAAGGCCUUGGCCGAUCUCGGAUCCUGGCUGUGGGCGGAGAAGCCAUCUUGGGCAAUCUUGCAGUGAUAUUUAAAAUGGCUGGGCUGACGUACAAGGUUGAAGAUGACAAGCAGUGGAAUAACUCCAGCCUGCACAUAUUUGGGACCAAAGUCAUCACACCAUUUUUUUUUUGUUCAAGGAUAAUACCUCAACUCAAACCACGAUGUUUUUUUCAAUUAAAACGUUACUGCACUUUCUUAUGUAAAACGUGUUCAUCUUAAAUUCUGCAAAUAAAAAAACCCGCAAAACCUGUUUACAAUUUGUUUUCAAUGUGAUUUGUUUCAAGAACAUUGUAAAAUAAAUAAAACUCUGCUUUUAACCCCCCCCCCCCUUCCGUCCCAAAUGAUGAAUACUUCUGUAUUCUGACAAAAACAACAAAAUGAAAUAAACGCACAACGGUCUAAAUCAUGUUUAGGGAAAAAGGCAUGCAUGCGCAGUGCUUUCAUGUUGAUAGCAAUGUAUUUAAAUCAUAAAAUGGUUUCAUUCAUCGAAAGAAGCUGGCCUUAGGAAAUGCGCUGUACAAGCUUUGCGUGCGCUUUUUCUUUUUUUGGGGAGCCCAUUACGUGAAUCAGACUGUGCACAAUUGGCAGGAGCUGCACCUGUGAUUAAAAUGGGUCCAACAUCUUCUUGUUCGUUUAUUAAUUUAUUUUGAAGCAGGGCGGUUUUAGGUUGAACAUAAAAGGAGGAAGGUUCGAUCGAAUGGCGUGGCGCGACGCCUGGUUUUCACCCAAACAAACAGCACAUGAAUAGACCCGCACACAAACGCGCGGGUACGCGCAGACGGGUCAACGCGGGAUUGAGACCGCAUCUCUUUCUUUAAAGGAAUGAAAAACGAAUGCGAUGCAGGCAUUAAUAGGAGCCCGUUCACGUACUUUGAAGGCCCAAACGAAUGUCCAGAAACGAAUCUCUUCAUGUCAGGGCUCAGUGGAUUAUUCAGAUCCACGGCGUGUGUAACGUAAUGUUGAUGUAUUAAAAUAAAAAUGCCUUGCACGAUUAAAGUUAAAAUGUCAACAGCUUUCAUAUUUGACGUUUGUGAAAAAUUGAAAACGUUCUUAAAUUUUGACAUUUUACAUGCAAUCGAUCCACUGAAACAAAAUAUACAAAAUGUAAAGGCAUCGUGUAAAGUAGCACAGACGCAUCAUCUACGACGAUACAAGCUAAUAUAAUUUAAUAUACCGUAAUGGAAUACAGUGUAAUGUAAUGCAUGUGCCUAGCAGCCUUGCCCCUCCACGACUAUAGUGAGGAGAGCAGUAGAGGGACUUCAUCACAUAAAACAAUACCAGCCUGUAUAAAACUAAAUUCAAGUGAAAACAAGUGACAAAAGAUUGUUUGACAAAUUUCGAUUUUCUUGCACAAAUAUACACAAAUAAAUGUGGACAUUAAUUCAAUGAAUCGUAAAAUGAGAUGGCAAAUGUGAAAAAAUACUUCCCACCUCCCCCCAUCGAAAAGCUUUUUAGUGAUUCCAUGAAGGUGGGGAGUUGUGCAUGUUUUCGUUGUGUCUCAAUAAUUGUAGCAAUUCAUUUCUGGUUGAAUGCAAAGCAAUUAGUGAAACCAGCCUCUGGAAUGUUGAAAUAAACACAUUAAUAAAAGUGCUUCACUGG